CAUUACAAGGUCCAAGUCUCCGCUCCCCUACUCCACCAUCCAAGGUGCUUGCUCUAACUUGGCAGUGUGAUAUCUGGUUGCAUGUUGCAUAUGGUGUCUAGCUCGUAUUGCUCCUAAUUAGUGUAAACUGCAUAUGCUUAGCUUACACAUGAUACAUGUGAAUAUGACAUGCUUUCCUGUUUUUAGUACAUACUAUAUCUGUCUAUCACACCAUGUUCUUACAUGAAACUACUCUUCUUGUGUAUCCUACAUCAGUCACUUAUGAUGGGACACCUUUAAGUUGUCAGUGUGAUAUUGGUUUGCGUCUUGAAUAUGAUUUCUAGCAUGUAUUGCUUCUAGUUUGAUGAACACCACCUAUGACAAGACAAUUUUAACUUGGCAGAGUGAUAUUGAUUGCACCUUCCAUAUGGUGUCUUGCAGUGUUUCUAAUUUGUUGAAGUGCCUUCUUCUUAGUUACCACAUCAUAGGUGUGAAUAUGUCAAGCUAUCCAUUUUUCGUACAUAUUCCAUCCUCAUAUCAUGACUUUGCCUUUCAUCAGAGUAGUGUUCGUUAGUAUCAUGCAUGAAUGAGUUCUAAAGAGCGAAUGAUAUUCCUUUUUCUUGUCGGUAUGAACUCACAAUGCAAAAUCAAUAAAGCUGAAGGAAAUUGGCAAGGCAUUGGAUGAUGGUGGUCCUUCCGAGCAACUGAAACAGAGGUUCUCUACAGAUUCUACUCCGCCAUCCUCCCAACAAGAUUCGUAAGACAAUGCAAUGCUAGACAGUCAAUGUAGUUGUGUAGAUGAUGAGCACAUCUCCCCUACUCCACCAUCACAGGUGCUUGCUCUAACUUGGCACUAUUAUAUGUUGUUGCAUGUUGCGUAUGAUGUCUAGCUUGUAUUGCUUCUAACUUUGUUGAAUUGCAUCUGCUUACGUUACACAUAAUGCCUGUGAAUAUGACAUGUGUUCCUGUUUCUACAUCAGACUACUAUUCUUGCAUAUCCCGCAUGAGUCACUUAUGAUAAGGCACCUUUAAGUCACCACUGUGAUAUUGGUUGUGUCUUGCAUAUGAUUUCUAGCAUAUACUGCUUCUAGUUUGUUGAAACGCCAUACAGUUUGAACUUGGCAGAGUGAUAUUGGUUACAUCUUUCAUAUGGUGUCUAGCUUGCAGUGCUUCUAAUUUGUUGAAAUGCCUUCUGCUUAGUUACCACAUCAUAGGUGUGAAUAUGUCACACCAUCCUGUUUUUCAUACAUAUUCCAUCCUCGCAUCAUGUGUUUGCCUUUCAUCCGAGUAGUAUUUGUCAGUAUCAUGCAUGAAUGAGUUUUGAAGAGCGAAUUUUAUUCCUUUUUCUUAUCAGUUUGACUUCACAAUGCAAAAUCAUUACAGCUGAAGGAAAUUAGUCCGGUAGUGGAUGAUGGUGGUCCUUCGGAGCAACUCAAACAGGGGGUCUCUACAGAUUCUACUCCGCCAUCCUCCCAGCAAGAUUCGCAAGACAACACAAAGCUGGACAGUCAACGUAGCUGUGUAGAUGAUGAGCACAUCUCCCCUACUCCACCAUCACAGGUGCUUGCUCUAACUUGACACUAUUAUAUGUGGUUGCAUGUUGCGUAUGAUGUCUAGCUUGUAUUGCUUCUAACUUGAAUUGCAUCUGCUUACUUUACACAUAAUGCCUGUGAAUAUGACACGUGUUCCUAUUUCUAGAACAUACGUGUACAUGAUGAGCACAUCUCCCCUACUCCACCAUCAUAGGUGCUUGCUCUUACUUGGAACUGUUAUACGUGGUUGCAUUUUCCGUAUGAUGUCUAGUUUGUAUUGCUUCUGAUUAUGUAGAACUGCAUCUGCGUAGCUUACAACUUAUACCUGCAACGAUCACUUACCCAUAAGACACAUUUAACUUGGGACUAUGAUGUAGGUUGCAUCUUGCAUUGUCUUAUAGGUUGUACUGCUAAUUUCUUGAAAUGGCACUUACGAUGAGACACUUUUUACCUGAUAGAGUGAUAUUGGUUGCAUGUUCAUAUGGUGCCUAGCUUUCAUUUCUUCUAAUUUUGUUGAAAUGCCUUCCGCUUACUGUUUUUUCAUACAUAUUCGAUUCUCCUAUCGUACGUGUGAAUAUGAAACGCUGUCUUUUUUUGUAUAUAUUCCAUCCUCCUAUCCUGCGCUUGCCUUAUUUCAAAGUAGUGUUCGUGUGUAUCAUGCAUCAACCAGUUAUGCAGAGCUAAUUUUAUUCAUCUUCUUGUGGUUUUGACUUCAUAAGGCAAUGUCAGAAAAUAGGAAGGAAAAGAGUAAGUUAGGGGAUGUUGGUGGUACUCCGCACUGACGCAAACAGAGACUCUCUAGAUUUUCUACUGCUACUGCUAAUGAAGUUGAAGUUCCAAGUCUACAUGAUGAGUUCAUCUCCCGCACUCCACCAUCGCAGGUGCUUCCUCUAAGUCGACAGUGUGAUAAUUGGUUUCAUGUUGCAUAUGUUGUCUAGCUUGUAUUUCUUCUAUUUUGAUUAAAUUGCACCUGCUAAGUUUAUACGUUAUACAUGUGCAUAUGACAUGGCUUUCUAUGUCUAAAAUACACUGCAUCUAUCUAUCAUACCAUGUUCUUACAUCAAAGUAUUGUUGUUUUGUAUGCCGCAUUAGUAACUCAUGAUUGGAUGCUUUUAACAUGGAAGUUUGAUAGUGGUUGCAUCUUGCAUUGAUUUCUACAUUGUACUGCUUCUAAAUUUUCGAAUUGCCACUUAUGACAAGACACUUUUAACUUGGCAGAGUAAUAUUGGUUGCAUCUUUCAUAUGGUGUCUAGCUUGCAUUACUUCUAUUUUCUUGAAAAUCCUUCUGCUUAGUUUGCACAUCGUCGUUGUGAAUAUGUCAUGUCGUCCUGUUUUUCUUACAUAUUCCAUCCUCAUACGGUUGUCUUACAUCAAAGUAUUGCUUGUCUGUAUCAUGCAUCAAUGAGUUCUGAAGAGUGAUUUUAUUCUUUUGUGUUAUUGGUACAACUUGACAUGGAAAAGUCAAAAAGAGCAAGGAAAAUAAUAUAGUAGGGAGUGCUGUUACUCGUCGGGUGAAACGGAAAAGGUUCUGCCGUCGAGAUUCUGCUAGUACUUAUAGUGCAGUAGAAGGUCCAAAUCCACCAGCUAAAUCUACAAACAAAGUAUCACCUGCUCCACCAGCUGCAGCAUCCGCUUCAACUGUACCAGCAUGUCAACCAGUUACUCGUUCGUUUGCUCCGGAACUGGCCAGUUCCCAAGCUGCCUUCACACCUAACACUACUUCUGAAGCACUGCUGACACAAUAGGACUUGGCAAGAUCAGAUGAACCUCAUGAGCAUCAACACCAAGACGGUACCUGACCGAGUCAAGUUGCAGUUGCAUGCUCCUUUAUAUGUACUCUCACAGUUUGAUGUACACUAACACUUUCCAUAUUCGUUGUUGAACUAUGUCAGGUAGCCCUGUGCGUUCGGUUUAUUUGGUUUACAUGGUUCGGUUUAUACGGUUUUUCUGUAUGUACGGUAUUAAUACUUCGGUAAAUAUGGUAUGAAAUUAAAAUACGGUUCGGUUUCGGUAUAUACCAAAUUAUUUCGGUAUGGUUUCGGUAUAUACCAUAAAAACCAAAGUUGACGCGAAUUUGAAAAUGACGUAAUAAUAAUUUGCAAAUUUAUGACUCAAAACACAUUCUAUUUUACACAAAUAGUAUAUGACUAUAUAUAUAAGUAUAUAUGCAUGCAUUGAUUCAUCUGUUGAUGGUUAUGGACGUGCUUAGCAUUUUAAAAAGAGAAAAAUGACAAUGUUACAAGAAAAAUGUUGGUGCUUAGUAGUGAAUUUGACUCAUGUACAAGAGAAAUGACAACUUGUACGGUUUUUCAUCUCAAGAAAUAUAAAUUUAUCUUUUACUUCGGUUUAUUCGGCUAACCAUUCGGUUUUUCGGUAUAUACCAUAAAAACCAAAGUUCAAAUCGGUAUGAAAAGUUCAUACCAUACCGAAACCAGAAACCAUAAAAACAAAAAAAUCGGUUCGGUUCGGUUUAUUUUCGGUAUGGUUUUUCGGUUCGGUUUUAAAAUGCAUAGAGUGAAUGUCAGGACCCCGACUCAAUGCCACACCAAUCUAGCAUGUAACACAUCAUAUCACUUUGCGGCCUCACGCACGGUAUUCCCACGGGUGCCACCUUACCUGGCCCGGGACCGUUUGCGCCUUUUGGCUCACGUAUAUGAUAGUGCCGCUAGCAUCCAUAUGACAAAGAACCCGGGCUGACAUGGAUAGUCGUGAACCCAAAGUGGCACUAACUUACAGGGACGGGCAUCCAUGACCCAACAUCGAAUGUGUCGGUCAUCAGCGAGUGAAUCCAGGCGGUAGCACUGGGCUAGCAGGACUCCGGUGAACUGGGCUGUAGCGGGCUAACAGGACUCCGGUAUUUCUCGCGUGACAUUUCCCCGAAGGGACAAACAUAGGAACGAAGAAGGACACAUGCCGGCCAGCCUAAGUGUUCCGGAGCAGUAGCAAGCUACCAUGGCUCAGUGGAAACACUAGGAGACAUUUCCCAGUAAGAGAGGCUACUAAGGAUAAACAACUAUAUCCCACACAUAUCAAGCAUUUCAAUAACAUACACACAAUAUGCUUGAUAUGUGCAAGUACAACAUGGCAUCACAACAUGACUCUACAACUCAAGUAUUUUAUUCAAUAGGCUCCGAGGAGCGAGAUAUUACAAUCAUGGGUCUCAUGACCCAACAUUCAGAGCAAACAAGUCAAGCACAAGCGGAAGCUUAACAUGUCUGAGUACAGACAUCUACAAAUGAAAAAGGCUAAGAAGCCUGACUAUCUACCAGAUCCUGCCGAGGGCACAAGAUCGUAGCUGAGGUAACAAGCUAAACGUCGAAGUCCACGCGGAACUAUUAGUGAGACUAAAGUCUCUCUGCAAAAACAUAAAAUAGGCAAACGUGAGUACAAAUGUACCCAGCAAGACUUACAUCAGAGCUAACUACAUAUGCAUCAUUAUCAACAAAGGGGGUGGUGGGGUUUAACUGCAGCAAGCCAGCUUUGACUCGGUGGCUAUCCUGAACUACGACUGCAAGUAACUCUUUUGAGGUGGCGCACACGAGUCCACAUAUUCACCAUAUCAAUACACCACUAUGGAUCCGCUCCCGUCUCCCUACGAGAACGCCAUCCAUAGCACUCAUGCUUAUCUUGCGCAUUUUAGAGUAUCCAAUUUCACUUGUCUAUGAACUAUGCAAGGGGUCCAAGUUUCCAUAUCCGAGGAAUCCGGCUAUUCGAAUAGAUAAUGAUAACCCUGCAGGGGUGUACUUCUUCACACACGCUCUCGCCACUUAUCGCCCUGUACACGUCAUGUACCUCGGCAACCUUCAAGCGGAAGCCGGCCGAGGGAGUCGGCCACGACCUGACUAACCAAACAAGUCUCUAGUCCAGGUUUAUCGCCUAUUCGGGUUCCAUCUGCAAGGAGAUCCGGCCGGGGUGUCGCUCACGACCCCAAACGAUGUGUGCAGGGUUCCCAAGUCCACCAUCCGGGUGCCACUUGGUACACCGGGCCACUGUGCCUAGUCUGUCCCAAGCCCACCUGUACCGGGUGCCACUUGGUAGACUACUAACACUACCUACAAACACCAGAAACUAGUUGCAAUUCCUGGACAGAGAUCGAGUUGAUUAUUAAGUCGAGAGGGGUCGAGUUACCGGAACCCAAUGUGUGGUAGUAACUGUUCAUGGAUCACAAACACAGAACUCGGUUCCUUAGGACGGCCGCAAUGAGACAACCCACCAUGUACUCCUACAUGGCCUCUCACUGCUACCUUUACCAAAUCGUGUUCACACACUUAGCUCACACACAGUAGGACAUGUUCACACACCUCCGAUUCAUCCUCGAUGAAUCAGACCUGACACAACUCUAAGCAAUAGCAGGCAUGACAAACAAACAUGAAUGAGUAGGCACAUCAGGGCUCAAACAACUCCUACUCAUGCUAGUGGGUUUCAUCUAUUUACUGUGGCAAUGACAGGUCAUGCAGAGGAUAAAGGGGUUCAACUACCGCAGCAAGUAACAGUUGUAUCGUUGUUGUCCUAAUGCAGUAAAAUAGAGCAGGAGCGAGAGAGUGGGAUUGUAUCGGAAUGAACAAGGGGGUUUUGCUUGCCUGGCACUUCUGAAGAUAAUAUAGCUCUUCAUCGGUGUCAUCGAACUCAUCGUCGAAACCACGUCUACUGAGAGGGAACAAUUACCGGCAACAGAGAGGAAACACAAUCAAUGCAAUGCACAUUAUGAUGCAUGAUCAUGACGUGGCAACAUGCUGUGGUUUGAGCUAAUGCAACUAAAACACUACCAGAAACAGAAAUUUUCCUGUGGGCUGGAAACCGACAGGAAAAGGGUGCAAACCGACAGGAAUAAUAUUUCCUGUCGGCCAACUGUCAGGGAAAUCCGACAGGGAUAGCUUGACAGGGAAAUUACUCUAUGUCCGUCGGCCGGCCGACAGAAGCAUUUUCCCUGACGGCCACUCCCGAUAGGAAAAUACUUUUUUGUCAGCUUUAGGCUUGACAGGUUUAUGUGUCAUUGCUGUCGGUCACAACCGACAGGAAUUUUCGUUCUAUUUCGCUGUGAGUUCAGGACCGACAGGAAAAUGCUUGCAUUUUGCUGUGAGUUCAUGCCCGACAGGAAAAUACUUGCAUUUCGCUGUGAGUUGGUCCCCGACAGGAAUUAGCAUGCAUUUCACUGUCAGCUCAUGCCCGACGGGAAUUAGUGCAAUGCAGCCAGAGCACAUUUACAUUAUAUCUAAUCAUCAAUAAAAAUCAUAAUCAUUAGAUACAUCCAUCAAUUUUGCACAUCCAAAGCAUCAGAAACAAUCUACAUAACAGUUCUCAGCUUACAAGGAUAACCAUCAGUUUUGCAUACCCAAAGAAUUACAAGGAAAGUACAUCACAGUUCAUCUAAAGUCUUGCAACUACCAAAAUGCUACCUUGUUGCAAACACCACCUUUAGUUCUAAAGUCUUGCAACUAGCAAAAUGCUGCUUUGUUGCCAACACCAACAUUAGUUCUAAAGUCUGGCUCCAAGUCAACAAAAGGCACUACCAAGGUUACAACCACCAUCUAUGAUUCUAGGUCUCAGUUUCACGAAUGUUGGAACUAGUGUCGCCACCACCGGCACUAACGUUGUUGUCACUGGUAUUCCCACUGGAGUUGUCAGCACCACCAUUUGCACCCAGAUCAUCAUCACCAGUGUUGUUAUCG
rnacentral:lncRNA from 1 species